rnacentral:lncRNA from 1 species
CAUGAAAUUUUGUAUUCUAAAUCACUUCCAAAAGCCAAAGUGGAGACAAAAAUGGUGAUUGCUAGUAAUAUACAAGUAGAUGAAGGAGUAAUUGAAUAUUUAACGAGAGCGGCAGCGAUCUACAAACUCCCAAAACGAACUCUUUCUUGGGGUUUUUGUUAGAUUGGUGUCGUUUCUCUUGAGCAUCUCCCACAGCACGUGGACAUCCUCGUAUUCGCACGACCUCACGUCGUGCUGCAAUUUUACAUGCCCUGCAAUGCAACUCACACCAUUUUAUUUUAUAUAUACUUUUAUUAUCAAUAAAUUAACAUGGAUAUGUAUCUUUCUUUGCGUAAAUUAGUAUGUAAUGCAAUCAAAUAGAGGGUUGACUUGAUUUUGGUUUUUAACGUGUUUAAUUAUAAAGUAUUGCACUUUUCAAUUUCUAGUAAAAAGUGGUGUUAUGAAUGUAACAAUUUAUGGAGAACCUGAAGAUCUGCUAAGACGGAUCUUUCUAGAAAAUUUGGUCCAAGCUUUCCUCAUCGGAGUCAUCAUUUUGUUCCAGCUCUUCAUCGUCAUCUUCAAAUAACACGAUUUAGGAUUGAUCCACUAAAUUUUAAUCAAUCCCAAUAUUUAAGGAUGAGACAAAUCAAGGAGUAUCAGUCAUAUCCCCUAUUAAUUGUUUGAGGAAAAAGACAAAAAGAUUCGCAUAAGAAAUCAGUUGAAGAGAAAAGAUGAAAAUUAUAAGAAAUUCUGGAAAUUUUCACGUACCAACAUGUGUGAGAGAUGCUAUGCGUAUGCCUUAUUAUGGAAGUGCACAGGAAGAGAUUUCUGAUCGACAGACCAAGAAAAAUGAAAACUGUUGCUGUUU